GUCUAUUCCCGAUAGAUUAGGUUUGUCAGAAAUCUAUAACUACAGCGAGAUAAGCCAUAAAAUCAAUGCCGCCAUAUUUAUUAUAAUAACUUCAGCCUGAAACACCCGCUUUGUUUGCUUUAUCGUCCAUCCAAUUAAUUGUUUUCUUAAUGAUCCCUCAUUAUUCCAGCAUUCAGUGACAAUUCGUGACGUCACGGAUCACGUGCUUCCUUUCAAUACAUCCAUAAAAGUAAAUAGAUGUCGGCUGGGCAGAGAAGGAAUUGAAUCGCUGAAGGAUUAGGACACUGAUGGAAUAAAGGUUUAGAGAAUGGUUUAUUCACAUACUGACUCACGGCACAAAGAUAUUGAAAAACAGAAAAAAUAAUACAAACUAUUGGUAUUGGUUUUCGUUUUCUAUACAACUGACAGUAAAUUAUUAAGAUGAGUUAUCAGUAUAUUUGUUCAAAACAUACAUCAUAGUAUAAGUUUUCGUGUGUGCGUAGAAAAAAAAAAUAACGAGAGAUACUAUCUGCCCUCUAAGUUUUCUUUAUUUAGAGGUUAAACAGUAGCAGACGUCAAAUCUCGCACCACACGCGACAAAACGUUUACAUGGAGUACCAUAUGGGAACAAUUUAAUUGGUAGAAGAAAUUGUAAGAACAAUGUCUGCGGCGGAGAUUUAUUUAUGUCGUAUGUCUUCAUUGAAUACCAUUCUGAGAGCGUUCUAGUGUCAAGAAUAGAUUUACAUCGUACUAAUCCGUGGUUGUGACGCCGAGCUGAGAAGAGAAUUAUUUCUCGUAUAUGGAAUGAGGGACGCGAAUACUAGAAAUUGUAACAUUUUAUUCCAGUUUGGAACCGAGUGUGAACAGAAUCACACAGGAAAAACCAAAACUUUAAGAAUAUUUCGAGAAUGGAAUCACUAGGAUGAUAAGCUAAACCGCUUUUAAGGAACAGUUGAACAAUGGGGAUGUCACAUUUCUAGAAAUAUGCCGUAAACAUGAAACAUGACAGCAAGAUAAAAAGCAAUAAAGACCAAAUUUCUCAUAGAUGACCUAAGAUGAAACAAGAUUAUAAGGCGGUACAGAACCAUAAACCAUGACAACGAAAUCUGCAUAUAAGAAGUGAUGCCCUACGACGAUGUAAUAUUAUUUUUAAACGAGCAGGAGAUGUCGUGCAGUUGACAGAUGACCCGACCUGACAGCUACAUUUCCUGAUCAUACAAUUUCCAUUUGUCAUGCGGUAACUUUACACUCAAUCUCGUUUAAUAACUCUGCGAAAUGUAUACACAGUACAGAAAUAGUUCCUUCGAGAUUUAUUCUGAAACAAUGCAACACAAUACUUGCUACAUUGAGUAUUCUGUAAAAUGUACAGGUUUGGCUAAAGUUAUCAACCUAUUCAUUGAAAUGUUUAAUACCAUUCAAAAUAACAAGAUCAGGCCGUUUUGAAUAUGUUUACAAACAAAAUACCAGUGAGCCAUAGAUAUGACCCCAUAAAUAUAUGAAUACAGUCAUAAACUAAAUACUUGUUACCCAUAAAUACGACACAAUAAAUAAAUACUCUCAUAAAUUAAAUACUAGUGAGCCAUAAAUAUAUGAAUACGGUCAUAAACUAAAUACUUGUUACCCAUAAAUACGACACAAUAAAUGAAUACUCUCAUAAACUAAAUACUAGUGAGCCACAAAUACGACGUUAAAUAUGAAUGCGAAGAUAGAGCCGCAAAUAUAACGCCAUUUAUUUUAAGACUCCGGUUACCAUAAUCCAACACACUUGGUUCGAUUCCCGAACAGCUUGGUCUGCUUUGUGUAAUAAUUGUUUAUGGUGGCCAUUCAUGUACAUUUGGGGGAAUCUCAUACCCAAAUGGAAGAUUAGGUCUCCCAACAAUAAUUAAAAACACAACAACUUUACUUCAA